rnacentral:rRNA from 1 species
UUAAACUGAAGAGUUUGAUCAUGGCUCAGAUUGAACGCUGGCGGCAGGCUUAACACAUGCAAGUCGAACGGUAACGGGUUGAAAGCUUGCU